UACGUAGGGCGCAAGCGUUAUCCGGAAUUAUUGGGCGUAAAGAGCUCGUAGGCGGUUUGUCACGUCGGCCGUGAAAACCUGGGGCUUAACUCUGGGCGUGCGGUCGAUACGGACAUCACUAGAGUUCGGCAGGGGAGACUGGAAUUCCUGGUGUAGCGGUGAAAUGCGCAGAUAUCAGGAGGAACACCGGUGGCGAAGGCGGGUCUCUGGGCCGAUACUGACGCUGAGGAGCGAAAGCAUGGGUAGCGAACAGG
rnacentral:rRNA from 1 species